AUACGGAGGGUACAAGCGUUACUCGGAAUCACUGGGCGUAAAGCGCGCGCAGGCGGUCUUUUAAGUUGGAUGUGAAAGCCUACGGCUCAACCGUAGAACUGCAUCCAAAACUAUUAGACUAGAGUGUGGGAGAGGAAGAUGGAAUUAGUUGUGUAGGGGUAAAAUCCGUAGAGAUAACUAGGAAUACCAAAAGCGAAGGCAAUCUUCUGGAACACUACUGACGCUGAGGCGCGGAAGCGUGGGGAGCAAACAGGAUUAGAAACCCCUGUAGUCC
rnacentral:rRNA from 1 species